CUCUUAUAAAGAGAGGUUGAGGGACUGGCCCUUUGAUACCUCGGCAACCAUUGAACUUGUUCAAACGGUGCCAAUUCCAGCAGAUUCUUUAGGAGUCUGAUCUAUGAGAG
rnacentral:ncRNA from 2 species